rnacentral:rRNA from 1 species
GAUGAACGCUGGCGGCGUGCCUAAUACAUGCAAGUCGAGCGAACAGACGAGGAGCUUGCUCCUCUGACGUUAGCGGCGGACGGGUGAGUAACACGUGGAUAACCUACCUAUAAGACUGGGAUGACUUCGGGAAACCGGAGCUAAUACCGGAUAAUAUAUUGAACCGCAUGGUUCAAUAGUGAAAGACGGUUUUGCUGUCACUUAUAGAUGGAUCCGCGCCGCAUUAGCUAGUUGGUAAGGUAACGGCUUACCAAGGCGACGAUGCGUAGCCGACCUGAGAGGGUGAUCAGCCACACUGGAACUGAGACACGGUCCAGACUCCUACGGGAGGCAGCAGUAGGGAAUCUUCCGCAAUGGGCGAAAGCUUGACGGAGCAACGCCGCGUGAGUGAUGAAGGUCUUCGGAUCGUAAAACUCUGUUAUUAGGGAAGAACAAAUGUGUAAGUAACUAUGCACGUCUUGACGGUACCUAAUCAGAAAGCCACGGCUAACUACGUG